CUACCCAGCAAAAAUCAACCAAAAAAAAAAUACAGUGAAGGAAUAAAAUUGCGCUAAUCACUUCGAUUAAGUGCCUACAUACAAAAACAAAAAACAAGGAGGGAAAUCUAGCAACUAGCGCACUUUAAAAACAGACCCAUUGCUGAAACUACUAGUGGAACCAGUGUUACUAAGUGGUAAGCUACCGGCAAUAUAAAAAACCAAGGGCCUAAAGUGUUCAUGGUCCUCCAUCGCCUUACUGAAUGGCACCUAUAAAGGAAAACAAACAGAAGAAAAAAAGUGUAUACAGUCCACAAACAACAACGACAAUAAAAGUAUAACGUUGCACAUUUCGUAGAUAUAUAUUUAUAUUAUUAUGUGAAAACUGAAAAAAGCAAGUUAUACCAUUUUAAAUGAACCGAGUGACGCUUACCUCAAGACAAAAAGUAAAAAUAAAAAAAUACAUAUAUACUUACAUAAACAUAUAUCAACAAUAACAGUGUACAAAGUCACAUAUGUAACCAAAUAAUUCGGGCGCGCCGAGUAAAAAACCCGAAAGAACAUAAACUUAAAUAAAAACCUAAUUUAUCCAUCGAAAACAACAUAAGUCAACAAUCAACUGAACACCCACUAUAGAAGGAAGCACUGAAUCGUAGGGAGACUCAGCGAGGGAAUCUAUCAACGUGGGAGAAAGGA